rnacentral:tRNA from 1 species
AAGGAGCUAGUCCAAAAUAAGACCUCUGAUUUCGGCUCAGAAAAUCGUGGUUUGAUCCCACGACUCCUUU